rnacentral:misc_RNA from 1 species
CCAACAGCUCUGCUUAAAUGCAUCAACAGACACGAAAGAGCUAUCCUGAACCACCUUGUGUGACCUCGAUCGCAUCCCAUAACCAAAUCUCACAUCGAAACCUUUUCUAGACAUGCUCCCAAAUUCACCCCUCAUGUCCUGAAGCAUGCUCUUGAAAGACAUCUUCACCCCCCCCCUUAAAUUUUGAAGUCUCAACGACCUAGAAAACACACGCACAGACCCCAAAAAAAUAAAAAAAAAAAGGGGAAAUACACUGAAAAUUUUUAUCGCUUCCACAUUCACAUCCAAAAAGCUGCACUUAACUGUAAGAUAAGCUGAUAAUCAGUGAUCAAGAAUACCCAGAAGCUUGAGAAGCUAAAAAUAUCCACUUUUGAUGGAAGCGAAUACCAAUUCCUACUAAUUCAUCGCCAAAAAUGUGAAGAUCAAUAGUAAAUUAUCUUCAAAAGGAGGAAUUAACACAACGAUUCCGAUCUACAAUUCCAUAAUCGGACAAUCAGCACAUGGAAAUAAAAUC